rnacentral:rRNA from 1 species
CCUACGGGAGGCAGCAGUAAGGAAUAUUGGUCAAUGGACGCAAGUCUGAACCAGCUAUGCCGCGUGAAGGAUGACGGCCCUCUGGGUUGUAAACUUCUUUUAUCUGGGACGAAAAAGCUCUUUCUAGAGCACUUGACGGUACCAGAGGAAUAAGCACCGGCUAACUCCGUGCCAGCAGCCGCGGUAAUACGGAGGGUGCAAGCCGUUAUCCGGAUUUACUGGGUUUAAAGGGUGCGUAGGUGGGCAGGUAAGUCAGUGGUGAAAUCUCCGAGCUUAACUCGGAAACUGCCAUUGAUACUAUCUGUCUUGAAUUAUCUGGAGGUGAGCGGAAUAUGUCAUGUAGCGGUGAAAUGCUUAGAUAUGACAUAGAACACCAAUUGCGAAGGCAGCUCACUACGGAUAUAUUGACACUGAGGCACGAAAGCGUGGGGAUCAAACAGGAUUAGAUACCCUGGUAGUCCACGCCCUAAACGAUGGAUACUCGACAUCAGCGAUACACUGUUGGUGUNUGAGACGAAGACAUUAAGUUAUCCCACCCGUCGGGAAGGUACGAGUCGCGAAGAGUUAGUAAACGUUAAAAGGUAAAGUUAGUACGGACGUAGAGGACGUUGCCGACGGACGACGACGACGGGGAGGUAGG